CAUGCAACCUACUGCAACACUGGCCGUGUUUUUUAAAUGUCAUUAAAGGACUCCCACUGAAACUUGGAGGCAUAUGUCUGAAUUCCACAGGCACUGUCUACAAAUCAUGCAACUGUAAUCAAUUCACUUAAUUUGCUUAUUUUCCCGGAGAACCAAUGGAAUUCUGUGUUCUCCUAAUUUUCCUUUCAGAACCCGAAUGAACCAUUAAAAAAUGAAGAAAUGCUGUCCUGUCAAAUCCUUCAUCAACUGAAUUGUGAAAUGAGGACUGGAUUAGGAAUGGAGACCUGUAAUCUGCUGAUGCUUUCAACUGAGUAGACUAUGAAAAUGGCGUGGUUAUACGAAGUACCGCAAUGUGACAUGCAUAAGUGGAACUGAUGGGAUUUGAACUCUUGCAACUUGGCUUUUUAAUAUGUGAGCAUAAAAUCAGUGCACUGUAUAAUGAAAAUAAAGCUAGAUGAAGGCUGUGUUGUGUGAUAAAUUUUGAACGGCAUUUCUAAAUAAUGCCACAUCUUGUCAGACUCCUGCAUACUUAUAAUAAAUAUAAACACAUCUCUCGG